GAUGAACGCUGGCGGCGUGCCUAAUACAUGCAAGUCGAGCGAACAGACGAGGAGCUUGCUCCUCUGACGUUAGCGGCGGACGGGUGAGUAACACGUGGACAACCUACCUAUAAGACUGGGAUAACUUCGGGAAACCGGAGCUAAUACCGGAUAAUAUAUUGAACCGCAUGGUUCAAUAGUGAAAGACGGUUUUGCUGUCACUUAUAGAUGGAUCCGCGCCGCAUUAGCUAGUUGGUAAGGUAACGGCUUACCAAGGCGACGAUGCGUAGCCGACCUGAGAGGGUGAUCGGCCACACUGGAACUGAGACACGGUCCAGAGUCCUACGGGAGGCAGCAGUAGGGAAUCUUCCGCAAUGGGCGAAAGCUUGACGGAGCAACGCCGCGUGAGUGAUGAAGGUCUUCGGAUCGUAAAACUCUGUUAUUAGGGAAGAACAAAUGUGUAAGUAACUAUGCACGUCUUGACGGUACCUAAUCAGAAAGCCACGGCUAACUACGUG
rnacentral:rRNA from 1 species